rnacentral:rRNA from 1 species
GCAGUCGAACGGCAGCACGGAGCUUGCUCUGGUGGCGAGUGGCGAACGGGUGAGUAAUAUAUCGGAACGUACCCUAGAGUGGGGGAUAACGUAGCGAAAGUUACGCUAAUACCGCAUACGAUCUAAGGAUGAAAGUGGGGGAUCGCAAGACCUCAUGCUCGUGGAGCGGCCGAUAUCUGAUUAGCUAGUUGGUAGGGUAAAAGCCUACCAAGGCAUCGAUCAGUAGCUGGUCUGAGAGGACGACCAGCCACACUGGAACUGAGACACGGUCCAGACUCCUACGGGAGGCAGCAGUGGGGAAUUUUGGACAAUGGGCGAAAGCCUGAUCCAGCAAUGCCGCGUGAGUGAAGAAGGCCUUCGGGUUGUAAAGCUCUUUUGUCAGGGAAGAAACGGUGAGAGCUAAUAUCUCUUGCUAAUGACGGUACCUGAAGAAUAAGCACCGGCUAACUACGUGCCAGCAGCCGCGGUAAUACGUAGGGUGCAAGCGUUAAUCGGAAUUACUGGGCGUAAAGCGUGCGCAGGCGGUUUUGUAAGUCUGAUGUGAAAUCCCCGGGCUCAACCUGAGAAUUGCAUUGGAGACUGCAAGGCUAGAAUCUGGCAGAGGGGGGGUAGAAUUCCACGUGUAGCAGUGAAAUGCGUAGAUAUGUGGAGGAACACCGAUGGCGAAGGCAGCCCCCUGGGUCAAGAUUGACGCUCAUGCACGAAAGCGU